UACGUAGGGUCCGAGCGUUGUCCGGAAUUAUUGGGCGUAAAGAGCUCGUAGGCGGUUUGUCGCGUCGGCCGUGAAAACCUGCAGCUUAACUGUGGGCUUGCGGUCGAUACGGGCAUCACUGGAGUUCGGCAGGGGAGACUGGAAUUCCUGGUGUAGCGGUGAAAUGCGCAGAUAUCAGGAGGAACACCGGUGGCGAAGGCGGGUCUCUGGGCCGAUACUGACGCUGAGGAGCGAAAGCGUGGGGAGCGAACAGG
rnacentral:rRNA from 1 species